rnacentral:rRNA from 1 species
CUAACAAGGAUUCCCUUAGUAACGGCGAGUGAACAGGGAGAAGCCCAGCAUCGAAGCCUGUAGCCGCUUGGUUACUAGGCACUGUGAUGUUUAGGUCUGCCCGUGGAGGUGCUGUCCCACCCUAUGUCCAGCAAUGAGUACGGCUGUGACCUGGCCCAUAGAGGGUGAAAGGCCCGUGAGGGUGGGAUUCAGAUUAGCCAGUGCUUCCCUGUGCAGACCUUGGAGUCGGGUUGUUUGUGAAUGCAGCCCAAAGUGGGUGGUAAACUCCAUCCAAGGCUAAAUACUAACACGAGUCCGAUAGCGAACAAGUACCGUGAGGGAAAGUUGAAAAGUACUUUGAAGAGAGAGUAAACAGUGCGUGAAACCGCUUACAGGUAAACGGGUGGAGUUGAACUGCAAUCUGUGAGAAUUCAGCUGACGAGAAUGACGUGAUCUUGGUCACGUGGGUUAUGCUUUGAGUCUGUUUAGCUACGGGUCCUGCUCUUCGGGGUGGGAUGUGCCGAGCACUAACCAUGUGUUGCACGCUCAAAGUUGGAUAGUAGGCCCGCUCGUCAGUGCACUUUCUCAUGGUGUUCACCACGACCGGCAUAUUGUCUGUCUGUUAUGGUUAAACCGGGUCUGUACUGUCCUUGUGGCGCUAUGGAUUCGGGAUGGCAGGUGACCUCUUCGUGUGCGCAAGCGCGUGAUUAGGUGUAAUCAGCUGACCUUAGCAGUGCUGUGCAGUGUGUCGGAGACGGCGGCUUGUAGUGCGUGCAUGCGUGCCUGUUCGGCUGGCAGUUUUGGGUUUGAUCGUCAUGUGCAUGUAAUUGCAUGCCUGAUGGUGGCCUGAGGCUGUUUGGUUGGCGGUUGCGUGUGUGGCACUUUAAUGGGCCAACAGUCUGUGGUGUAGUGGUAGACUAUCCACCUGA